AAGUUGUUCAUAGGCCGGUAGCAAACUGAGAAGAAAAAUGUUGGACAAGGGGGUGAAUUGCGUACCGGAUGGGACAGUGAGGGACGGCUCAAGAUUUCACCGUGUUUCUCGGAAAGAUUAAAAUUUGGAUUAUUGACUGAUUGGUGGUUCACACCUUCAAUUCCAGCACUCUGGAGGCAGAUGCAGGAAGACCCCUAAAAGUUCAAGAAAGUCACAACGCUCAAAGGUUUCAGGUCCUGUCGAACACCCCAAAUGCAUCGGAAGAACAAGAGAUGUCUGUUUCUCAGUGAUGUCCAGUCAGGAUACAGGGAAACUCCUUUUAACUUCUUCUUGGCUUGUUCUCCAGCCCUGGAACAUUUUGGAAGAGUGAGUGUGGACUUUCCAGCACAUUCUACAGCUCCCUCGUUUGCAAUGGCAAUGGAGGGGCAUUCCUAGGAAGAAAGCAUGCCUCCCGAGAGGUUCUAUUAAAUCGACUUGACUGUCAGGCAUCACUGAAGAGUUACAACAAGAAAGAAGGCACAUUGCCUUCAUCUCCCCAGCUCUUUGUGUCUGGGUACAUUUUUGGUUUCAGCUUCCAAAUUAAGUCUCUGCAGGUUUGGAGUGGUCAGCUCAGCUUUCGUUCCUAAAAAACCCACAGCAGCUG
rnacentral:lncRNA from 1 species